UACGUAGGUGACAAGCGUUGUCCGGAUUUACUGGGCGUAAAGAGCGCGCAGGCGGUCGAUCAAGUCGAGUGUGAAAGCCCCCGGCUCAACUGGGGAGGGUCAUUCGAUACUGAUCGACUCGAAGGCAGGAGAGGGUAGUGGAAUUCCCGGUGUAGUGGUGAAAUGCGUAGAUAUCGGGAGGAACACCAGUGGCGAAGGCGGCGAUCUGGGUAGAUACUGACGCUGAGACGCGAAAGCGUGGGGAGCAAACAGG
rnacentral:rRNA from 1 species